rnacentral:rRNA from 1 species
CAGCAGCCGCGGUAAUACGAAGGGUGCAAGCGUUACUCGGAAUUACCGGGCGUAAAGCGUGCGUAGGUGGUGGUUUAAGUCCGUUGUGAAAGCCCUGGGCUCAACCUGGGAAUUGCAGUGGAUACUGGAUCACUAGAGUGUGGUAGAGGAUAGUGGAAUUUCCGGUGUAGCAGUGAAAUGCGUAGAGAUCGGAAGGAACAUCUGUGGCGAAGGCGGCUAUCUGGGCCAACACUGACACUGAGGCACGAAAGCGUGGGGAGCAAACAGGAUUAGAUACCCGCGUAGUCCCUGUCUCUUAUAA